rnacentral:lncRNA from 1 species
UAGGAGGACCUGGGUUCGCAUUCCAGGUCUGGCAUCUCCUGAAAAGUUUUUUCAGAGUUCUGAACCUCGCCUGGCGAUCCCCACCCUUCAUCAUCUGGCCCCCCUUCAUAGGUAUGGGUACAGCCCAUGGUUGGAACCGUCCCCAUCCCUUAGUAAUCUCCCUAAUUAGAAAGGGGUAUAAAAAUGCAAAAAAAAAAAACUAUCCAUCAGGCAUUGACAAUAAUCUUAUUUCAUUUUAUAUUUGUACAGUUUCUUAUGAAGUUUGUUGCCAUGCAAGUUUUUUAGAUUUCAUAACAUUAUUUACUAAAAAUUGUCAUAUGAUAUAGUCGAUUCUGGUUAGUCUGAUCACAUUGGAACCAGGUAAUUUUGAUCAAAUA